AUUGAACGCUGGCGGCAUGCCUUACACAUGCAAGUCGAACGGCAGCACGGGUGCUUGCACCUGGUGGCGAGUGGCGAACGGGUGAGUAAUGCAUCGGAACGUACCCGGAAGUGGGGGAUAACGUAGCGAAAGUUACGCUAAUACCGCAUAUUCUGUGAGCAGGAAAGAGGGGGAUCGCAAGACCUCUCGCUUUCGGAGCGGCCGAUGUCGGAUUAGCUAGUUGGCGGGGUAAGAGCCCACCAAGGCGACGAUCCGUAGCGGGUCUGAGAGGAUGAUCCGCCACACUGGGACUGAGACACGGCCCAGACUCCUACGGGAGGCAGCAGUGGGGAAUUUUGGACAAUGGGGGCAACCCUGAUCCAGCCAUGCCGCGUGAGUGAAGAAGGCCUUCGGGUUGUAAAGCUCUUUCGGCGGGGAAGAAAUCGCAUCUCCUAAUACGGGGUGUGGAUGACGGUACCCGCAUAAGAAGCACCGGCUAACUACGUGCCAGCCGCCGCAGUAA
rnacentral:rRNA from 1 species